rnacentral:rRNA from 1 species
GACGAACGCUGGCGGCGUGCUUAACACAUGCAAGUCGAACGAAGUGGCGAACGGGUGAGUAACGCGUACUCAACCUGCCCUUCAGAGGGGGACAACAGUUGGAAACGACUGCUAAUACCGCAUACUGAAGUCGGGGUUAGCGUCUGAUUAGCUAGUUGGAGGGUGAACGGCCAACCACGGCGAAGGUCAGUAGCCGGUCUGAGAGGAGGACCGGCCACAUUGGGACUGAGACACGGCCCAGACUCCUACGGGAGGCAGCAGUGGGGAAUCUUCCGCAAUGGACGAAAGUCUGACGGAGCAACGCCGCGUGAGUGAUGACGGCCUUCGGGUUGUAAAGCUCUGUUAAUCGGGACGCGGUACCGGAAUAGAAAGCCACGGCUAACUACGUGCCAGCAGCCGCGGUAAUUC